rnacentral:rRNA from 1 species
CGUGUGUGAUGAGGUCUUAGGAUCGUAAGCACUUUCGCAGGGAUGAUAAUGACAGUACCUGGUAAAGAAACCCCGGCUAACUCCGUGCCAGCAGCCGCGGUAAUACGGAGGGGGUUAGCGUUGUUCGGAAUUACUGGGCGUAAAGCGUACGUAGGCGGAUCAGAAAGUAAGGGGUGAAAUCCCAGGGCUCAACCCUGGAACUGCCUCUUAAACUCCUGGUCUUGAGUUCGAGAGAGGUGAGUGGAAUUCCAAGUGUAGAGGUGAAAUUCGUAGAUAUUUGGAGGAACACCAGUGGCGAAGGCGGCUCACUGGCUCGAUACUGACGCUGAGGUACGAAAGUGUGGGGAGCAAACAGGAUUAGAUACCCUGGUAGUCCACACCGUAAACGAUGAAUGCCAGUCGUCGGGCAGUAUACUGUUCGGUGACACACCUAACGGAUUAAGCAUUCCGCCUGGGGAGUACGGUCGCAAGAUUAAAACUCAAAGGAAUUGA